rnacentral:tRNA from 1 species
UUAAUUAUAGCUAAUAAAGCAAUAUCACUGUUAAUGAUAAGAUAAGUUUUUAAACUUUAAUUAAG